ensembl:lncRNA
CAACCCAAGGACUCCGGUCUCAGCCUUGGGUUCUCCCAGCCUAGGACACCAGCUUCCCAGCUUCGUCCUCGCCUUCGGGAGCACGGUGCUGGACCGCAGCCCACCGCCUGUUUGGCCCAAAGUUCGAAUUCUGUCUCCGGAAUGGAGGGGUGGGAGGCAGGGAAGACUACUCUCUUUCUCAAACCCGAACUCCAAACUCUUCUCAUGAGGACCUCCUCUUACUAGAUUUCAGCCCCCUUCAACCAGGGCACUUAGGAGUCCCCAUCCCUCCUCCCUCAGACCCAGGGGUCCAGGCCCCAGCCCCUCGUCCCUCAGACCCCCAGCCCCUCCUCCCUCAGACCCAGGAGUCCAGGCCCUGUUCCCCUCCUCUUCCAGAUGGGUGACCUGUAUGAGUGCAGGUCUGAAGCCCUCUCCUCUCCAGAACCCGAGUCCCGAUCCCAGCCCCAGUCUUUCUAGACAUUCAGACAUUCGGAACCCCAGCCCUUCCCUCCCUCUGCACCCAGGGUCCCCACAGCCUCACCUCUCGGGCUGUGGCUGCUGCUGCAGCGGCUGAGACCGAAGCGACAGCUGCGGACUGGAAGGGUUUGCUUACUGGGUGGGGUUGGCGGGCUGGGGCGGGGCCGGGGGCGAGGGCGGGGCCGCGGACCCGGCGCGAGUGCUGGGCCAGGGCUGAGAAAGGGACUCCCUGGGCCAGGGGUAUCCCAGGCCCACCCCCGAGGCGGAGCUAAGGGGAGACCACGCCCCUCCCCGGGAUAAAUGGACCGAGGCUCUCCCGCCCCGCCAGCGGUGGGGGGGGUUGGGGGGAGUGGAGGGCUGAGGUCACUGUUGCCGUGGUGACAAAACAGGAAGACACAACAGCUGGCGGCGUGGGGGCUCCUGGGGGCUGCCCUCCCCGACUCGGCCCUAGCGCAGUCUCUAGAGGAGGCCCGGGAAGGCCGUUGCCAUGACAACUCGUCUGUUUUUAGCGUCUGUUUAGGACGGAGCCCCCAGCCCAGGUCCCCACCCCAGUAUCACCUCACUCAAUUCUCCCUCUCCCUUCCGGUCCCCUCCCCUCCUUGUCUGCUGCAGCCGGGCUCUUCCAGGCCGGAUGAAAUCUUGGACAUCUGGGUCGCGGGCAGCACCCCCCACGCGGAGGAUGUUGACUCCAACCUGGCGCUGGAUUCCAGCCUCCAACAGGCUGCACCUCUGUUCUGUGAAGCUGGCUGCUUUGGGGUACAGGGACCCGCCUCCCGACUUCCUAAUAAACAGAGUUCCUUGAUCAGAAGCAAUAUUGUGUGACAGUGAACAUGAUGGUGAAUAGGGCCAUUCAGCGGGUACAUAGAUACGGCUCUUGGCAGGCAUGGGUAAGGCAAGGAGAGCAAAUAACAACCCUGACUUAAUAUUCCAGGGAGGAAGCAGUCACUCCAUUCACGAUGGAAGGAGCCCAAUGUAAUUAUCAGGCGACCAGGUAUUUGGCUGGUCUUCCUAGGAAACCCGCAGUGGAGGGGCCCGGAGGCUUUGCAGUGCUGCAGCGGGCUGGGCUUUGCUGGGGCAAAUCCGUGCCCAGCCCUCCACGGCCACUUUGUUCUUGACUCCACUGAGCCAGCACUGGGGACGCUGAGCCACGUGAGGUCAUCCAAUCUGCCAGGUGGCUUAAUAACAUUCUCUGCAAUAGAGGCUUUUUGGGAAGAGUUCAC